GUGACACCCGGUACACGCUCACCUUCCUUGCCAAGCGGGUGCAGGUGUAGGGAAUGACGCGGCCUGGUGCUCACCUGGACAGAACCAAAAUAACUAAAAACAAAGAGGAGCCUUGAGCACCCUUGCACAGAUGAUUUCACGUAUUUGGUCAGAAUAAGCAUUAUCACGAGUACACCAGUGACAAGGAAAAUUUUUGACAAGAGCAACCAAAACUGAUGGAAAAUCUUGAAAUGCCUGUGAAUCAAGACCACCUUAUGAUCAAUUAAAGCUCAAUCUUGUUUUGUAGUUCAACUACCAGGAAUUUCCAUUUUUGUUUUU